CCCACUAUAGUUUAUGAAAAACAUUGAAUUGCAAAUUCGAAAAAGGAGCUUAAUUCCUGGUGAGU
rnacentral:tRNA from 1 species